rnacentral:lncRNA from 1 species
CGUUUCUGCGUAUAACCUGUAUAAAUCACACUUUCUGGGCCCUCCAGGUGUGUUUGCAGCUCAUGGGAAGCACCCACACACGUUUGCACCGGGACUCGAGGGGAGCACCGUAGGAAAUGUGACCCACGGCUGCACCUCGGGAUGGGGCACAUCGAGGGCUUCAAUGGACCGGUGCUGCCGGCUCCGUGCCUGCUGCUACGCCAGGCUGGCGGCACGGCGCUGCCGCGUGGGACCCGUCCAGCCCUUCUCUGUGCCCCGGGCAGGAGUGCCCACCUGCAGUGAGUCCCCGCUGUUCCUUCAGGAUCCCUCUUUCCAUCCCUUUUCCCUCUUCCAGCGCCCUUUCCCGGGGCAGCACUCGGGGAUCUGCCUUAAAGGAAGGCUCAGAUGCGCUUCCCUCUGUUGUCCGCAGGGACCGGGACCUGGUGCCAGAGGGGCGCAUGCCGGUGCGAGCGGGCAGCCCUGCUCUGCCGCAUGCGCCGCCGGUGGCAGCUCCGGCGCCGCGCCAAGUGCCGGGGGCAAGGCGGGCGGUGUUGAAGCCAAAGGGCUCCUUGCAUUAAGCCACGUCCAGGCUGAUGAGCAAAGGGACGGUGCAGCAGCGAGUCCCAGCCCCGCUGGGUCUCCUCCGUGGGGCUUCGACGCGAGGACAACCACCCUCUGGUGCACUUGCAUCAAUGCACACUGAGUCCGAGCAGGGAGAGCAGCUCAGAUGCGGUGCCUCAGCACAGAACAAGGGAGGGAUGGACACCCGCUCCUCGCCGCUGCGAAGGGCGAGCUGGAAGCCGGCACACGUUUUCCCUUGGCUCCUGUGCAGCCUCUCAGCCCCCUCUGCUUUUCGCUUCACCGCACGUUCUCUUCUGUUGCUCCCAAAUAAAACCAGAGAGCACAAAACCCCA